rnacentral:rRNA from 1 species
AACGAACGCCGGCGGCAGGCUUAACACAUGCAAGUCGAGCGAGACCUUCGGGUCUAGCGGCGGACGGGUGAGUAACGCGUGGGAACGUGCCCUUCUCUACGGAAUAGCCCCGGGAAACUGGGAGUAAUACCGUAUACGCCCUUUGGGGGAAAGAUUUAUCGGAGAAGGAUCGGCCCGCGUUGGAUUAGGUAGUUGGUGGGGUAAUGGCCCACCAAGCCGACGAUCCAUAGCUGGUUUGAGAGGAUGAUCAGCCACACUGGGACUGAGACACGGCCCAGACUCCUACGGGAGGCAGCAGUGGGGAAUCUUAGACAAUGGGGGCAACCCUGAUCUAGCCAUGCCGCGUGAGUGAUGAAGGCCUUAGGGUUGUAAAGCUCUUUCAGCUGGGAAGAUAAUGACGGUACCAGCAGAAGAAGCCCCGGCUAACUCCGUG